rnacentral:snoRNA from 1 species
AUGAAUAUCAGAGGCUGUUUCUGAGGUUGAGCCCAGAGCUCUACUAUGUUGCAAAGUAACUGAUUUGCCUAUUUGA